UGGGGAAUCUUGGACAAUGGGCGAAAGUCUGACCGAGCAACGCCGCGUGAGUGAAGAAGGUUUUCGGAUCGUAAAACUCUGUUGGUAGAGAAGAACGUUGGUGAGAGUGGAAAGCUCAUCAAGUGACGGUAACUACCCAGAAAGGGACGGCUAACUACGUGCUAG
rnacentral:rRNA from 1 species